rnacentral:rRNA from 1 species
UACGGAGGGUGCAAGCGUUAUCCGGAUUCACUGGGUUUAAAGGGUGCGUAGGUGGGCAGUUAAGUCAGUGGUGAAAUCUCCGGGCUCAACCCGGAAACUGCCAUUGAUACUAUUAGUCUUGAAUUUUGUUGAGGUAGGCGGAAUAAGUCAUGUAGCGGUGAAAUGCUAGAUAUGACUUAGAACACCAAUUGCGAAGGCAGCUUGCUAAACAAACAUUGACGCUGAGGCACGAAAGCGUGGGGAGUCAA